rnacentral:piRNA from 1 species
UAGCUCCAGCCAGAUACCCUUGACGGACU